CCUACGGGGGGCAGCAGUGAGGAAUAUUGGUCAAUGGCCGGAAGGCUGAACCAGCCAAGCCGCGUGAAGGACGAAGGUGCCAAGCAUUGUAAACUUCUUUUGUCAGGGAGCAAUUGGGUCCACGCGUGGGCUUAGCGAGAGUACCUGAAGAAAAAGCAUCGGCUAACUCCGUGCCAGCAGCCGCGGUAAUACGGAGGAUGCGAGCGUUAUCCGGAUUUAUUGGGUUUAAAGGGUGCGUAGGCGGAAUAUCAAGUCAGCGGUAAAAAUUCGGGGCUCAACCCCGUCGUGCCGUUGAAACUGAUGUUCUUGAGUGGGCGAGAAGUAUGCGGAAUGCGUGGUGUAGCGGUGAAAUGCAUAGAUAUCACGCAGAACUCCGAUUGCGAAGGCAGCAUACCGGCGCCCAACUGACGCUGAAGCACGAAAGCGUGGGUAUCGAACAGGAUUAGAUACCCGAGUAGUC
rnacentral:rRNA from 1 species